UGUAGAACAGAGCACAAUGUGUGGUUAGAACAACGAGCAAUGUGUGGUAGGGAAUCAGAGGAAUGUGUGGUAGAACAGAGCAAUGUGUGGCAGAACAGAGCAAUGUGUGGUAGAACAGAGCAAUGUGUGGUAGCAUUGAACAAUGUGUGGUAGAACAGAGCAAUGUGUGGUAGCAUUGAACAAUGUGUGGUACGGAACAGAGGCAAGUGUGGUAGACAGAGCAGUGUGGUGAACCAAUG
rnacentral:lncRNA from 1 species